rnacentral:rRNA from 1 species
GAUGAACGCUGGCGGCGUGCCUAAUACAUGCAAGUCGAGCGAUCGGACGUGAAGUUUGUUUGUCUGAUGUUAGCGGCGGACGGGUGAGUAACACGUGGAUCACCUACAUAUCUGUCUAGGAUCCCUUCGGGAACCCGGAGCUAACCCCGGAUGAUCCUUUGACCCGCAUGGUUCAAAAGUGAAAGACGGUCUUGUCGUCAUUUAUAGAUGGCUUCGCGCGGCAUUAGCUAGUUGGUAAGGUACCGGCUCACCAAGGCAACGACGCCUAGCCGACCUGAGAGGCUGGUCGGCCACACGGGAGCUGGGACGCGGACCAGGCGCCUGCGGGAGGCAGCAGUAGGGUAUGUGCCGCAGUAGUCGAAAGCCUGACAGAGCGGCGCCACGUGAGAGAUAAAGGUCUUCGGAUCGUAAAGCUCUGUUAUUGGGGAAGAACAUAUUUGUAAAUAGCUGAAGAGAUCGUGACGGUACCUGAACAGAAAGCCACGGCUAACUACGUG